rnacentral:tRNA from 1 species
AGCGGGGUGGAGGAGCAGUAUCUCGCAAGGCUCAUAACCUUGAGUCCCCGGUGCGAUUCCGGGCCCCGCAACAA